rnacentral:rRNA from 1 species
UAAGGAAUAUUGGACAAUGGGCGCAAGCCUGAUCCAGCCAUCCCGCGUGGAGGAUGACUGCCCUAUGGGUUGUAAACUCCUUUUAUUUGAGAAGAAACGCCUGGAUUUAUCCGGGCCUGACGGUAUCUUAUGAAUAAGCACCGGCUAACUCCGUGCCAGCAGCCGCGGUAAUACGGAGGGUGCAAGCGUUAUCCGGAAUCACUGGGUUUAAAGGGUGCGUAGGUGGUUUAGUAAGUCAGAUGUGAAAGCCCGGCGCUCAACGUCGGAAUUGCAUUUGAUACUGCUGAACUUGAAUCAGGUUGAGGUGGGCGGAAUGUGGCAUGUAGCGGUGAAAUGCAUAGAUAUGCCAUAGAACACCAAUUGCGAAGGCAGCUCACUGGCCCUG